CCCUCCUCCGGAUGCUGCCAGAGCAAAGCGGGCGCAGAUUCCCCCCAGCACACCCCUCCUCCCCGCGCUCAGCCACCCCGGAUGUGCGGGAGGGAAAAAACCCGAGGUGGUCCCAGGUACCAGCGAGGCCGACGCCCCCGCCCAACCUGGCGACCAUGGUGACUGGACCACUUGGCAGGCUCUUGGGCAUGGUGUGAGCCCUGCUGUGCCCGGGGCCCCUCGGAGCCUGCUGCUGUCACCCCCCACCCCCUGCUCCCGCCCCAGCGGAGGAGCCCGCCGCCCCCGGGGAAUGUGACUCGCCCCUCUGUUUAAUUUUAUUCCCUUCCACUUCUCAGCUGAGCAUCCUGCUCCUCCUCUAACCACGCGGAACCUUCCCAGCUGGAGAGAGAGAGGGAAGGGGAAAAUUGCCCCCAGACAGGAUGGCUUGCAGAAGACGCUACUUGGCUGAGGACCGGUGCUGGGUCUGAUGGGCUACUACGAGACAGGAAGACCAGCAACCCCCUGUCUUGGUCCUUCCAGGAGAAGCCUGUGUGGUCACUGACCUCUGUCGCCCUCCCCUCCCUGACAGGAACAGACAAACUUCCCCCUCUGGCCUGAGACACAGUAACUCCAAGCCACCUGUAGCAGCCUGGACCCCACCACAGAACUCUGCAGGUAGCCCUUCCAGAAAGCGCAGGCUGCCCAGAAUUCUUACAGCAGCGACCAUGUUCUUUUUAAAACUGACAGAACUUCCCAAGUUCGGAAGCUCCUAGGGGAUUAGCUGGUCACACAUCAAACCCAUCCGGGGAGCUUUGAAAAAUGAAGGUGCACGCGAACAGACAUUUCACCAAAGAAGAUACGCGGCUGGCAGGUAAACACACGUAACAAUAAUGGUCGACAACAUGGGCCAUCAGUGAGAUGCACCCCAAAACCACAGUGAGCUCUCGCCCCGUAGCUAUUAGAGUGGCUGAUGUAAAAAAAAAAAAAAAAA